GCCUUCAUAGUGUAGGGGUUAGCACACUCGACGCGUAUUCGAGAGGUACGUGGUUCGAGUCCAGGCGAGGGCA
rnacentral:tRNA from 1 species